GACGAACGCUGGCGGCGUGCCUAGUACAUGCCAGUUGAGCGCUGAAGGUUGGUACUUGUACCAACUGGAUGAGCAGCGAACGGGUGAGUAACGCGUGGGGAAUCUGCCUUUGAGCGGGGGACAACAUUUGGAAACGAAUGCUAAUACCGCAUAAAAACUUUAAACACAAGUUUUAAGUUUGAAAGAUGCAAUUGCAUCACUCAAAGAUGAUCCCGCGUUGUAUUAGCUAGUUGGUGAGGUAAAGGCUCACCAAGGCGAUGAUACAUAGCCGACCUGAGAGGGUGAUCGGCCACAUUGGGACUGAGACACGGCCCAAACUCCUACGGGAGGCAGCAGUAGGGAAUCUUCGGCAAUGGACGAAAGUCUGACCGAGCAACGCCGCGUGAGUGAAGAAGGGUUUCGGAUCGUAAAACUCUGUUGGUAGAGAAGAACGUUGGUGAGAGUGGAAAGCUCAUCAAGUGACGGUAACUACCCAGAAAGGGACGGCUAACUACGUG
rnacentral:rRNA from 1 species